rnacentral:misc_RNA from 1 species
AACUCAAGGUCACUGGUAAGACUAACCCCCUAUGGCUGAAGCGGUGGUAUCGUCUGAAGCGAAGUGCUUUCCUCGCCAUUUCUAUCGCCAUCGCCAUGUCACAUGUCAUCGUCUGAUGCAUUGUUUGUCCGAGCUUUUUUAUCUUAAGUGUUCGAACAAGAAAUUACAUGGAGAGGAAGCUUUAGUUUUGUACUUGAUUUGUCACUUGUUGGGCAAGAUGGAAAAAGAUCAGGGUUUGAGUUAUAGGGUCUAGAGCAUGUCUGAUCAUCAGAGGCAUGUUGCAGUGUUGUUCCAGAAAGCCGGAUUCAAGAGAAAAAAUCUGAUUCAAAGGCCCAUCAACACAAUAUAGAUUGUUUAACUUUGUAUUCUUGAUUUGAUGGUGAAAUUGAAUUAAAUUGGAAGUUGAAAGCUA